CACUUGUUUAACGGUGUGAAGCUGUGUUACUUUGCCUGCCUAAAACACCUGAUUGGUCUAAUAAAGAUCUGAAUGGCCAAUAGCCAUGCAGGAGAGGGAUGGGGGGCCUGCCAGGCAGAAAGAUUAAAUAGAAGAGAAGAAGAAGAGGAGGAG